rnacentral:rRNA from 1 species
AUUGAACGCUGGCGGCAGGCCUAACACAUGCAAGUCGAACGAGUGGCGGACGGGUGAGUAAUGUAUGGGAAACUGCCUGAUGGAGGGGGAUAACUACUGGAAACGGUAGCUAAUAACGCAUACCAUCAGAUGUACCAAGAUGGGAGUAGCUUGUGGGUGGGGUAACGGCUCACCAAGGAGACGAUCCCUAGCUGGUCUGAGAGGAUGACCAGCCACACUGGAACUGAGACACGGUCCAGACUCCUACGGGAGGCAGCAGUGGGGAAUAGUGCACAAUGGGCGCAAGCCUGAUGCAGCCAUGCCGCGUGUAUGAAGAAGGCCUUCGGGUUGUAAAGUACUUUCAGCUGGGAGGCGUUACCCGCAGAAGAAGCACCGGCUAACUCCGUGCCAGCAGCCGCGGUAAUUC